AAUGCAAGUCGAACGAGACUUUUCGUUGUAGCAAUACGAUGGAAAGUUUAGUGGCGAACGGGUGCUUAACACGUGGGCAACCUGCCAUGAAGUGGGGGAUAGCUCGCCGAAAGGCGAAUUAAUACCGCAUGUGAUUAGAGAGGACAUCCUUUCCAAAUCAAAGUCGGGGCAACCUGACGCUUCUUGUGGGGCCCGCGGCCUAUCAGCUAGUUGGUGAGGUAACGGCUCACCAAGGCUUUGACGGGUAGCUGGUCUGAGAGGACGACCAGCCACACUGGGACUGAGACACGGCCCAGACACCUACGGGUGGCAGCAGUCGAGAAUUUUUGACAAUGGGGGAAACCCUGAUCGAGCGACGCCGCGUGGAGGAUGAAGGUCUUCGGAUUGUAAACUCCUGUCAUUGGGGAACAAGGCGCAAAUAUUAACUGUAUUUGUGUUGAUAGUACCCGAAGAGGAAGAGACGGCUAACUCUGUGCCAGCAGCCGCGGUAAUACAGAGGUCUCAAGCGUUGUUCGGAUUCAUUGGGCGUAAAGGGUGCGUAGGCGGCGCGGUAAGUCGGGUGUGAAAUCUCGGAGCUUAACUCCGAAACUGCAUUCGAUACUGCCGUGCUUGAGGACUGGAGAGGAGACUGGAAUUUACGGUGUAGCGGUGAAAUGCGUAGAUUUCGUAAGGAAGACCAGUGGCGAAGGCGGGUCUCUGGACAGUUCCUGACGCUGAGGCACGAAGGUCAGGGGAGCAAACGGGAUUAGAUACCCCGGUAGUCCUGACAGUAAACGGUGCACGUUUGGUGUGGGAAGGAUUC
rnacentral:rRNA from 1 species